UACGGAGGAUGCAAGCGUUAUCCGGAAUGAUUGGGCGUAAAGCGUCCGCAGGUGGCUGUGUAAGUCUGCUGUCAAAGAGCAAAGCUCAACUUUGUAAAGGCAGUGGAAACUACACGGCUAGAGUGCGUUCGGGGCAGAGGGAAUUCCUGGUGUAGCGGUGAAAUGCGUAGAGAUCAGGAAGAACACCGGUGGCGAAGGCGCUCUGCUAGGCCGCAACUGACACUGAAGGACGAAAGCUAGGGGAGCGAAUGGG
rnacentral:rRNA from 1 species